rnacentral:rRNA from 1 species
CCUACGGGAGGCAGCAGUAGGGAAUCUUCCACAAUGGGCGAAAGCCUGAUGGAGCAACGCCGCGUGGGUGAAGACGGUCUUCGGAUCGUAAAACCCUGUUGUUAGAGAAGAAAGUGCGUGAAAGUAACUGUUCACGUUUCGACGGUAUCUAACCAGAACGCCACGGCUAACUCCGUGCCAGCAGCCGCGGUAAUACGUAGGUGGCAAGCGUUAUCCGGAUUUAUUGGGAGUAAAGGGACCGCAGGCGGUAUUUUAAGUCUGAUGUUAAAGCCUUCGGCUUAACCGGAGUAGUGCAUUGGAAACUGGGAGACUUGAGUGAAGAAGAGGAGAGUGGAAUGCAAUGUGUAGCGGUGAAAUGCGUAGAUAUAUGGAAGAACACCAGUGGCGAAGGCGGCUCUCUGGUCUGUAACUGACGCUGAGGUUCGAAAGCGUGGGUAGCAAACAGGAUUAGAUACCCGGGUAGUC